CAUAUCCCCUUACCCCAGCCUAAGCCGCGGUGGUGCACAUGCAUCCCAUGGCGGUGCGCGCCGGUGAGCAGGCGAACUGCCCACCCCGGUGCCCGAUUUUGAACGAGGAUGGGUCCUACGCAUGGAGGCGACCUAAGUGAAUGUAGCAGAGGUCUACUUACCACGAAUUACAGAGAUAGUUCUUCCCAUGGUGUGGUGCGGUACAUUGGUGGGUUUGACAUUCUGGCGAGCAAUCUUGGUGACUCCAAGGGGCUUCACUCACGGAGCAGAAACGGAACGGUGACACCAGUUUCCUUCCCUUCUAUUUGGCGUUCAAAAGGAGUUUAGGGGCGUGUUCGGUUGGCUGCAAGCCGACACUGUUGCAGCUGUUUGGACUGCUGCAGCUGCAAUCCAUAGAGAGAAAAAUACUGUAGAAGCCGCAGCCGCAGCCGGAUUGCAGCCGCAGCAAGCCGCAGCGAACAAGCUGUAGGUUUCUUGUGUCUUGCGGUCUGAAAUGGAGCUUCCGUCAGAAAAAUCAAUAUGCUGUCAUGACGAGACGAGACUUGAACAGCUCCUCUCCAGGCUGGCCCAAAACAAGUUCAGCCUGGCCCAUACGAAGGUUUCGGCAGCCUGGGCUUUGUCUGACGAAAGCUUUCGGUGCAUCUGGAGCAGUUACUCAUGGAUUUGGUACGUCCCGCUUUGUCUGAAUCAUGAAAAGUCGCGUGUUCGAUCUGCAAUCAUGAUGCAUUUGGAGCUAGCAGUUACUCAUGGAUUCCUGGUGCGUGCAUCUUCUGGUCUCUGCUGCAUGCAUGCAGAAUCAUGGUGGGUUUUUUUAAUUAUGCAAGUGUUUGCUUAUUUUCAGCAGCGAUGUCCAAUUCAAUAAUAGUGUCUUGUAAAGAUUUUUUUUUUGAUGUUUAUGGAAUCCAUUAUUGUGCCA